GGUCCCGGUGUCGUCACACUGGUGUCACACUGUCACGCUAUGGGUCCCGGUGUCACACUGGGUGCUAUGGGUCCCAGUGUCAUCAUCAGUGUCACACUGGGGCACUAUGGGUCCCGGUGUCACGCUGUGAUUCUAUGGGUCCCAGUGUCACGCUGUGAUUCUAUGGGUCCCGGUGUCACACUGUCACGCUAUGGGUCUUGGUGCCACAUUGGGGCGCUGUGGGUCUCAGUGUCACAUCGGUGUCACGCUGUGAUUCUAUGGGUCCCGGUGUCACACUGGGCGCUGUGGGUCCCGGUGUCGUCACACUGGUGUCACACUGUCACGCUAUGGGUCCCGGUGUCACACUGGGUGCUAUGGGUCCCAGUGUCACACUGGGGCACUAUGGGUCCCCACUGUCCCCUCGGUGUCACACUGUCACGCUAUGGGUCCCGCUGUCACACUGACGCUGUGGGUCCCAGUGUCACAUCGGUGCCACGCUGUGAUUCUGUGGGUCCUGGUGUCACACUGGGCGCUGUGGGUCCUGCUGCCCCUUGUGGUCACACUGCAGCGCUGUGGGUCCCGGUGACGUCACACUGGUGUCACAGUGUCACACUAUGGGUCCCGGUGUCACACUGUGAUUCUAUGGGUCCCAGUGUCCCCUCGGUGUCACACUGUGGCACUAUGGGUCCUGGUGUCACACUGGUGUCAUGCUGUGAUUCUGUGGGUCCCGGUGUCACAUGGGAGCGCUGUGGGUCUUGGUGUCACAUUGGGGCACUAUGGGUCCCGGUGUCGUCACACUGGUGUCACGCUGUGAUUCUAUGGGUCCCGGUGUCACACUGGGGCACUAUGGGUCCCCACUGUCCCCUCGGUGUCACACUGGUGUCACACUGGUGUCACAUUGGUGUCACAUUGGUGUCACACUGGUGUCACAUUGGUGUCACACUGGUGUCACACUGGGGCGCUGCUCCUGGUUAAGGCACCACUGGAAAACUCAAAGGGAAAGGAGGCACCGGGGG
rnacentral:lncRNA from 1 species